GCGGGGGAUAACUAUUGGAAACGAUAGCUAAUACCGCAUAACAAUGGAUGACACAUGUCAUUUAUUUGAAAGGGGCAAUUGCUCCACUACAAGAUGGACCUGCGUUGUAUUAGCUAGUAGGUGAGGUAACGGCUCACCUAGGCGACGAUACAUAGCCGACCUGAGAGGGUGAUCGGCCACACUGGGACUGAGACACGGCCCAGACUCCUACGGGAGGCAGCAGUAGGGAAUCUUCGGCAAUGGGGGCAACCCUGACCGAGCAACGCCGCGUGAGUGAAGAAGGUUUUCGGAUCGUAAAGCUCUGUUGUAAGUCAAGAACGAGUGUGAGAGUGGAAAGUUCACACUGUGACGGUAGCUUACCAGAAAGGGACGGCUAACUACGUGCCAGCAGCCGCGGUAAUACGUAGGUCCCGAGCGUUGUCCGGAUUUAUUGGGCGUAAAGCGAGCGCAGGCGGUUUGAUAAGUCUGAAGUUAAAGGCUGUGGCUCAACCAUAGUUCGCUUUGGAAACUGUCAAACUUGAGUGCAGAAGGGGAGAGUGGAAUUCCAUGUGUAGCGGUGAAAUGCGUAGAUAUAUGGAGGAACACCGGUGGCGAAAGCGGCUCUCUGGUCUGUAACUGACGCUGAGG
rnacentral:rRNA from 1 species